UACGAAGGGGGCUAGCGUUGUUCGGAAUUACUGGGCGUAAAGCGCGCGCAGGCGGUUCUUCAAGUCAGAGGUGAAAGCCCAGAGCUCAACUCUGGAAUGGCCUUUGAGACUAGAGAACUAGGGUACGGGAGAGGUGAGUGGAAUUCCGAGUGUAGAGGUGAAAUUCGUAGAUAUUCGGGAGAACACCAGUGGCGAAGGCGGCUCACUGGCCCGUUACCGACGCUCAGGCGCGAAAGCGUGGGGAGCAAACAGG
rnacentral:rRNA from 1 species